UACGGAGGGGGCUAGCGUUGUUCGGAAUUACUGGGCGUAAAGCGCACGUAGGCGGCUUUGUAAGUUAGAGGUGAAAGCCCGGGGCUCAACUCCGGAAUUGCCUUUAAGACUGCAUCGCUAGAAUUGUGGAGAGGUAAGUGGAAUUCCGAGUGUAGAGGUGAAAUUCGUAGAUAUUCGGAAGAACACCAGUGGCGAAGGCGACUACCUGGUCUGGCAUUGACGCUCAUGUGCGAAAGCGUGGGGAGCAAACAGG
rnacentral:rRNA from 1 species